CCAAGAUCAUUUGAGAAAGCACAAAAUGACAGACAUGAUAACAUUUGUUAAUCCGUCCAAGAUUGGCGCCAUCGGUUGUGGUACUCCAGCAGCGAGAUCACGUGCCCUCUCUCUUAGAUUCAAAGAUGCCAAGCCAGGCCAAGUUUUUCUUUUGCCAUAUCACCACACGAACCACUGGGCACUUACUGUGGUUAAUCCAAAUGCACAACUGGUUUACCACAUGGACCCGUUAAAGCGGCGCAUCGCAAAUGAAGAAUGGAUCGAAGUGGUUAACAAUGGCAUCAAAAUUUACAGGGAGGAGGAGAAGAUAAUUCUCAAGAAGAAAAUAAACUGGGAGAAUUUAGCGG